UAAAUUUUUAUAAAAUAAAUUAUUGUAUAAAUUUACUUUGCGCAUAUACCGAUUUUAAUGACUUUUAUUUAAAUAGAUUUAACGGUUAAAUUAUUUUUUUUAACUUUUAUUUAAUUAAUAAUUAGACUUAUAAAACUAUAUAAACAUAUUAAAAAAGGUAAAAUUUAUUAUAAAAAUUUUUUUAUAUCCGCAACAUCGCGCUGGUAUUUCACUAGUAUAUAUAGAGAGCAGGGGUGUUGUGCUCUCAGGAGCACGGAGGCCUCCGUGCUCCUAAGUCGUUUUCGAUUAUGGAAUUUUCGAAUCGACGAUCUGCUCCGUUAGACUUGAUCUAGCACAUUUGAAGUUUCUAGAAAAUAGUUUUUGCGAUUUUUUGAUAUCAUUUACCUAGUGAUCGAAGGGAUUCAAAAUCCAUAAUUUUUAAUGGUUAAUAUCUGCCGUUUUCAAGUUUAACGACACAGAAGUAUUUAAAUCAGAUAAAAUUUUGAUACAAAUUCUUUAUGCUAUCUAUAACAAGAUCAAUAUUUCUGAUCGAAAAUUUUAGUGCUAUAUCACCAUUUUUUAUAGGAUUUUUAUUUUCAGCCAUUAAAAAUUAUUGAUUUUGAAUCCUUUCGAUUGCUAGGUAAAUAACAUCGAAAAAUCCAAAAAUUAU
rnacentral:lncRNA from 1 species